CAAUAAGAGUGUUUAUGGCACUCUUCAAAAAAUCCAUACCCACCUUGUGUGCAACGUAAGAAGAAAAAAAGAAGAUGCGAGUCAUGGGGAAACCCAAGUCUUGCUCCCUUUCUUUUUUCUUUUCCACAUACACCUUUCUAUUAGUUCCUAUUGCCUGAAGCUGUUAGAGAAUGACUAAUUCUUAAACA
rnacentral:misc_RNA from 1 species